rnacentral:rRNA from 1 species
GACGAACGCUGGCGGCGUGCCUAAUACAUGCAAGUCGAGCGGACUAUCAUUGGUGCUUGCACCUUUGAAAGUUAGCGGCGGACGGGUGAGUAACACGUGGGUAACCUACCCUGUAGAUUGGGAUAACUCCGGGAAACCGGGGCUAAUACCGAAUAACACUUUUGAACUCAUGUUCGAAAGUUAAAAGAUGGUUUCGGCUAUAACUACAGGAUGGGCCCGCGGCGCAUUAGCUAGUUGGUGAGGUAACGGCUCACCAAGGCAACGAUGCGUAGCCGACCUGAGAGGGUGAGCGGCCACACUGGGACUGAGGCACGGCCCAGACUCCUACGGGAGGCAGCAGUAGGGAAUCUUCCACAAUGGACGAAAGUCUGAUGGAGCAACGCCGCGUGAGUGAAGAAGGAUUUCGGUUCGUAAAACUCUGUUGCGAGGGAAGAACAAGUAGCGUAGUAACUGGCGCUACCUUGACGGUACCUUGUUAGAAAGCCACGGCUAACUACGUGCCAGCAGCCGCAGUAA